rnacentral:rRNA from 1 species
AACGAACGCUGGCGGCAGGCCUGACACAUGCAAGUCGAGCGAAGCCUUCGGGCUUAGCGGCGGACGGGUGAGUAACGCGUGGGAACGUGCCCUUUGGUACGGAAUAGCCCCGGGAAACCGGGAGUAAUACCGUAUGUGGUCGAGAGACGAAAGAUUUAUCGCCAAAGGAUCGGCCCGCGUUGGAUUAGGUAGUUGGUGGGGUAAUGGCCUACCAAGCCGACGAUCCAUAGCUGGUUUGAGAGGAUGAUCAGCCACACUGGGACUGAGACACGGCCCAGACUCCUACGGGAGGCAGCAGUGGGGAAUCUUAGACAAUGGGGGAAACCCUGAUCUAGCCAUGCCGCGUGAUCGAUGAAGGCCUUAGGGUUGUAAAGAUCUUUCAGUGGGGAAGAUAAUGACUGUACCCACAGAAGAAGCCCCGGCUAACUCCGUGCCAGCCGCCGCAGUAACAC